UACGGAGGGUGCGAGCGUUGUCCGGAAUCAUUGGGCGUAAAGGGCGCGUAGGUGGCCCGGUCAGUUCGUGGUGAAAGCGCGGGGCUCAACCCUGCGUCGGCCAUGAAUACUGCCGCGGCUGGAGCACUGUAGAGGCAGGCGGAAUUCCGGGUGUAGCGGUGGAAUGCGUAGAGAUCCGGAAGAACACCGGUGGCGAAGGCGGCCUGCUGGGCAGUUGCUGACACUGAGGCGCGACAGCGUGGGGAACAAACAGG
rnacentral:rRNA from 1 species